rnacentral:rRNA from 1 species
AUUGAACGCUAGCGGCAUGCUUUACACAUGCAAGUCGAACGGCAGCACGAAAAGAGCUUGCUCUCUUUGGUGGAGCGCGGCGAAAGGGUGCGUAAUGUAUGGGAACAUACCCAGUAACGGGGGCUAAUUCCGCGAAAGCGUGGCGAAUACAGCAUACGCCGUACGGGGGACAGCGGGCGACUGCUAAACCACUUACUAUUGGAGAGGCCGAUCUCGGACUAGCUAGUUGGUGGGGUCAGGGCUCACCAAGGCAACGAUCCGUACCUGGUUUGAAAGGAAGACCAGCCACAUGGUGACUGAGACACGGCCCAGACUCCGACGGUAGGCAGCAGUGGGGAAUUUUAGACGAUGGGGGAAUCGCGGAUCCAGCCCUCCGGGGGGUACGAUGAAGGCCUUCUGCUUGUAGAACAAUGUUGGCAGUGAAAAAACAACACUGUCUAAUACUUGACGCAACUGACGGUACCUGCAGAAUAAGCACCGGCUAACUACGUG